rnacentral:rRNA from 1 species
UACGUAGGGUGCGAGCGUUGUCCGGAAUUAUUGGGCGUAAAGGGCUCGUAGGCGGUUUGUCGCGUCGGGAGUGAAAACCGGGUGCUUAACACCUGGCUUGCUUUCGAUACGGGCUGACUUGAGGGAUGCAGGGGAGAACGGAAUUCCUGGUGUAGCGGUGAAAUGCGCAGAUAUCAGGAGGAACACCGGUGGCGAAGGCGGUUCUCUGGGCCUUACCUGACGCUGAGGAGCGAAAGCGUGGGGAGCGAACAGG